rnacentral:rRNA from 2 species
UGGGGAAUAUUGGGCAAUGGGCGAAAGCCUGACCCAGCAACGCCGCGUGAAGGAAGAAGGCCUUCGGGUUGUAAACUUCUUUUCUGAGGGAAGAUAAUGACGGUACCUCAGGAAUAAGCCACGGCUAACUACGUGCCAGCAGCCGCGGUAAUACGUAGGUGGCGAGCGUUAUCCGGAUUUACUGGGUGUAAAGGGCGCGUAGGCGGGAAUGCAAGUCAGAUGUGAAAUACUGAGGCUCAACCUCAGGGGUGCAUUUGAAACUACAUUUCUUGAGUGAUGGAGAGGCAGGCGGAAUUCCCGGUGUAGCGGUGGAAUGCGUAGAUAUCGGGAGGAACACCAGUGGCGAAGGCGGCCUGCUGGACAUUAACUGACGCUGAGGCGCGAAAGCGUGGGGAGCAAACAGG